AUUUUUUCUCUUCUAUUUUCUUCUUCAGAUCUGUAGAAGAUUGUAGAUGAGAUUUUGGAUUUGGAGCUAAUAGUAGAUCAAAGGUAUCUUAUCUUCAAGUUCUGAUGAUUUUAUGUUUUAUUUUUAUUUUCAGAGCUGUAAAAAUAUUAUGGACGGAACUUUGUAAUUCGGAGAAGUUUGAUGAAUGAGCCUUUAUGAAAUUUGAUCUAUAAAAGUUUGUGGAUGAGAUUUUGAAUCUAGAUCCAAUAACAAAUCAGAGAUAUCUAUGUUCAAGAAUGAUCAAAGGGAAUAUGACCUGAUCUAACAAGAAGAGGAUGCAUGUAUAUGUAUCUCUUUCCUUUUUAUUGAUUUUAUUUUAUAUCAAUUUUGUAUCUACAAGGAGAAUAAAUUAAUUUUUCAUGAUUUUAUUU